rnacentral:rRNA from 1 species
AACGAACGCUGGCGGCAUGCCUAACACAUGCAAGUCGAACGAGACCUUCGGGUCUAGUGGCGCACGGGUGCGUAACGCGUGGGAACCUGCCCUUAGGUUCGGAAUACUUCCCCGAAAGGGGUGCUAAUACCGGAUAAUGUCUUCGGACCAAAGAUUUAUCGCCUUUGGAUGGGCCCGCGUUGGAUUAGCUAGUUGGUAGGGUAAAAGCCUACCAAGGCGACGAUCCAUAGCUGGUCUGAGAGGGUGACCAGCCACACUGGGACUGAGACACGGCCCAGACUCCUACGGGAGGCAGCAGUGGGGAAUAGUGGACAAUGGGCGAAAGCCUGAUCGAGCAAUGCCGCGUGAGUGAUGAAGGCCUUAGGGUAGUAAAGCUCUUUUACCCGGGAGGAUAAUGACAGUACCGGGAGAAUAAGCUCCGGCUAACUCCGUG